GUUUAAAAUUUAGGGAUAUAGAAAAUUGGGGAUGGAUUUUAGCAUUGUAGAAAAAUGAUAUAUACUUCAUGCAUGAUGUCAAAAUGAAAAAGAGUGACAGAGACUGGUUGUAGAGAGGGGACAAGCAGAAUUAAUGAAGGGAAUCCUUCGUUUUCAAGAACUGCUGUAGCUAAAAUCUUGAUGCAAACUGGAAUGGGACCUAUUAAUUACUCUUUAAUUUUCUGGGUUUGCAUUAAUUUCUAUGCCAUAAUAGGUUGUGUCCUCAUGCAUGUUGCUAGACAGUAGCUAGGCCAGGUCUUGUAAUAUGUUUUUUUUUUCUUUCAUUCAAAUUGUUUUUAAAGGGAUGGACACUCUACAAGUCUAUUUCGUACUAGCUUAUAGUACAAUAUCUAUUAAACCUGCUAUGGUUAAAUUCAAUCUAUUAAACCUGCUAUGGUUAAAUUCGAAGAGCUUUCCUAAUUUGACACCAUUUUU
rnacentral:lncRNA from 1 species